rnacentral:lncRNA from 1 species
UCAGACCAAACUGGACCGUGCCCACCCCUAAUCUCAGGUCAGGUAAAGCCUGUCCAGCUGCAACGUAGCUCUGAUCAGCAUUUAUCUAAUGUCUCCUAGGGGUUGUUUGGUAUGCUUCAUUAUGCUUCAUUGAACUGGACUGGAUUACAUAAGACUUGAAACCCAUGUUUGGCAUUGAAAAGGAUUAACUUAAAUAAGAUUAUAUAGUCCAACAAUUGAAAAAAAAUCCGAAUUCGCAUGUCUAAUAUAGCUAGCCCAAAAUUGGGUUUGCAAAAUAGCUCCUUUGCAAUUUUGAACAGGAGAGUCCGGCUGGAUGGUUUGAAUCAAAACAAACCCCCUGACGCCCCCACCCCCGUGCCCCACAAAUUUCUUCUCCCCAUGACCACCACCCUCAAGCCACUCGCAAAACCAUUUCUCUUCGCCACUAGCAAAACCAUUUCUCUUCGCCACUAGCACAACCCAAAACCAUCUUAGUCCAAUUCGUAGCAGUUCCAAAAAAAAAAAAGAAUUAAUGAACCAAAACCAAAGAGAAUAAGAAAUCUAGGUCUGCGUAUGAUGCUGCUCCUAUUUCUAUUUUGUAGCUUCCUUACUUGCUGAUGAUGUUUUAGCGGCUUAGUUAGAGAAGAAGAAAAUGAGAGAAAGAAAAGAGAGAUAGAAGAAUAAAUAAAAGAGCGAGCAAGAAGGAAAGGUGGCAGGAGGUGGGCUAUUUUUUCUUUUCAAUUCACAAGGGUUGGCUUGUUCUUCCUAAUUAUUAUUUUUUUAAUUAUUUAUUUUUAGGUUAAAAUCUCUAAUUAAAUUUAAUUAUUUAAAUAAAUAUUUUUUACUUUGAUAGAACACUAAACAUAGGUCUUCAUUAUUUUUACAAUCCAGCUUUUUAGUCCGACACAACACCAAAUGUAUAUCAAUACUUAAUCCAGCCUAAUCCAAUCCGAGCAAAUCCAAGACAGUUCUAGGAUUUAGUCCAGUCCAUAACAAUCCGUCGUACCAAACGACCCCUUAAAGUUUAUAUAAGGAGUCUAAGAAAUCUUGCAAGUUGGUAAGGUUAUUGUCAAAAGAUUAAACUUUACAAGACUUAUGGUCAUUGGCCUGCCUCUAAAAGGGGAUUAUUUUCCUAUUCCACUCCUGUUUAUGUAUAGGAUCUACCUUUAAUUUUGCAAGUUGGUACGUGAUUGACCAUUUGCAAUUUGUUGGCAGUCAAUCUAUCGAAACCAUAAAUUAAAUAGAUUCGUAAAUACUCUUUUUAAAUUGGAACAUUUUGUACUCCUAUAAACAAAAAUAAUUAAUAUCAG